ACGAACGCUGGCGGCAGGCUUAACACAUGCAAGUCGAGCGCCUCGCAAGAGGAGCGGCAGACGGGUGAGUAACGCGUGGGAAUCUACCUAGAACUACGGAACAACUGAGGGAAACUUCAGCUAAUACCGUAUACGCCCUACGGGGGAAAGAUUUAUCGGUUUUAGAUGAGCCCGCGUAAGAUUAGCUAGUUGGUGGGGUAAUGGCCUACCAAGGCGACGAUCUUUAGCUGGUCUGAGAGGAUGAUCAGCCACACUGGGACUGAGACACGGCCCAGACUCCUACGGGAGGCAGCAGUGGGGAAUAUUGGACAAUGGGCGCAAGCCUGAUCCAGCCAUGCCGCGUGAGUGAUGAAGGCCUUAGGGUUGUAAAGCUCUUUCAGUAGGGACGAUAAUGACGGUACCUACAGAAGAAGCCCCGGCUAACUUCGU
rnacentral:rRNA from 1 species